GAAACACCUGAGUUUUCCUAGCCGGGGGGCUCGAGCACCUGCAAACAGCUCCGGGGCGAAGGGUUUGAUUGACAGUCGCCUCCGCUGGAGUUUCAUCCGUCAGAAAGCUUUAAUCUGUGACGCAGAGCUGUAAGGGCUUCAUCGCCUAGUACAGAACGGUCCACAGUGUCCAGAGCCAAGCACAGAACUCUGUCACCUCGGUGGCAUGUGAAUUUAUCCCCCAAAUGGCCUCUACUGGGUUUUCACAAUCACAAC